rnacentral:ncRNA from 1 species
AGUGCUCUGAAUGUCAACGUGAAGAGAUUCAUCAAAGCGCGGGUAAACCGGCGGGAGUAACUAUGACUCUCUUGUGGUAGCCAAAAUGCCUCGUCAUCUAAUUAGUGACGCGCAUGAAUGGAUUAACGAGAUUCCCACUGUCCC